GCUGGCUCUGAAACCUGAAAACUCUUGACGAUGAGGAAUUAAGCCCGAACUGGAGAAGCACCUCACGGAGGUAGCUGAGGUACGGAUGCAUUCACCCAUUUUACAGAUGGGAAAAGCCAGAGACCGUGUGCAGCAAGCCUACAGAAAAAAUUGCUAAGCCUUUACAGAGCAGCCCUGCUUGGACUACAGAUGCUGGCGUUGGCGGUUCCUUAUAGUACAGGCAGCCACCUGUCUCCCCCAGUCCCUAAUCUCUUCCCCGAGCUGAAUUUCUCACACCCAUACAUUUCGAAUUCAGACAUUUGUUUCUGCAGAUCUCGGAUGCUAGCACUUGACACUGUGAGCGCACGCGCGGGCACACACGCACACAGUCUCCUAGGGAGUGUGAGGAACGUCGGGUUACUUCCGUUGUUGGGGAACUUUUACUGUGCAAGUACGGUUUUAAAAACAAGCAAACAAAUUAGCAUAGUAAAUAAUUGGUCUUCAAGUAGCAAAGUUACAAAAUAAACAAAUACAAAGAGAAACCCACGUUAUUGCCCCUAGUUCUGAGAUAUGUCUCCCUCUGCGGUCUCCGCUAGAAGCCCAGCCCGCUCUCGCCUUCGCCCCAGUCUCGUGCCUUCUGGAGCAUUAUUUUUCAAUCCGCGUGUUUCCCAGCUGGCUCUGCAGCCAUCCGUUAAAUAUGUAUUUAAAACAUGAAGAACUGAAGCGUGGUGUUAUGUCGUCCAACGGUUACAAGGAUGACCCAUAACCGUUCAAUUAGUAGAAUCUGUCACUCGGACGACGCAGGGAGCGGGGGGGUGGGGAUCAGAAAGGGCUCGGGCAUUUGUAGAUGCCUCCUUCGGGCCUACCCCGCCAACAGCAGCGAGGCCAUGUGUGGUGCGCGCUGUGGGGCCACCAGUCGGGGCGCGGAGUUGUGCGCCUGCCAGUGUAGCUAAUAAACACCAGCAGGCGCAACGUGCGCGCUCCUUGGUUGCAGCCGCUGAGGCUGCGUCUCGGCCUGGCUGCCAAACAGAACGACGUUCUUGCGCAGAGCUGACCAGGGGUGGCGGCGGGAGGCAAGGCUCCCGGCACCGGAAAGCAAAGCAAAGAAAAAGGCAUUGCAGCCAUCGCUCCUGGUCGUGAAUGACAGCGUUUGGCUACCAAACAUGUGCUACAUGACCCCUCAGAAGUCAGAACUCUGCAAACAAAUGGCGUGUCUUUCUCACAAAACAGCUCAUGGAGUCGUCCAGGGUCAGCACGGCUGGUCAGAACCGCGGCUCCCGGGACUGGUCCAGGACAGUUCACGCCGGGUGCGGAGGACAGGCCCUGGCACUUGGCAGGUGCUUGGUAAAUACUGCCGAAUGCACACACGUGCAGAUGUGCAUGCGGACUGAUGUGAAACAUGGUCCGUAAAAUACAUGUAAAUGUGGGCAAAGGUGUGUUAUGUGUUUUUUCGCUGUAUAUAAUAAACUGUGAGAGCUGUAAUCUGGAUCUUGGGGUAUAUGGGCACCUUUACAAUGAUUGGGGUGUUGACUUCCACCUAAUGACAACUGUGACCACUUGAAGGCAACCUAAAUUGUGCCAGGAGUUUCAGGUGUCUUGACAGACAUA
rnacentral:lncRNA from 1 species